UUGGCCUGAUGAGGUACAUUUCGCGAUUUACCUCCCUUACGAUGCUCCAGGGUUGGGGUGAUGGGGGCUCUCAAGGUUGGAGUUUAACCUUUUAAUAAAUGGGAAAGAUACAAUUUGGCUCUUUACCUCAGCAAGGUUCUAGAAUCGAAUUUAUUUAAAAUCUAUAAAUAAGCAUACUAGAUACAUUUCGAGUUUUAUAUCAAGUAGCUGAUUGUUUUGAUCAUUUGAGCUGGAAACCUAAUCAAAAUUAAGUUUAUGCGAUGUUUAACUUAAAGUAUGUUGAUGAGCCUUGACAUAUUCUCUCCCCAUUAAAAUCAACUUAAUUAAUUUAAAAUAAUUAAUGAAUUCUCAAUUCGAACUGGAAAGCAAACUGUUCCUAAACGGGAGAAUUAGCUGUAAGAAAUCAAGAUAAUAGUUCUCAAACUGUCCUCAAAGAUAUAGACUUCAAAUAAAUAUCACUAUCUCUUGUUACUGAAGAUGCAUUAGUGAGAACAAUUUGUGUUAACUUUUAAUGUAGAAAACAAUCGAAUAAGAACUAGGUUGAUGAAAGAAAGGAGAAGAGAGAAGAGAGAAGAGAGAAGAGAGAAGAGAAAGAAUUUAGAGGGAGAGUGACGAUGCGAAGAACUAGGUUGGUUAAUAGAUCUCAAACUCUCUUUAUAUAUGUUUUAAACAAGUCUAAUUCAAUUAGAAAAUUGCUCGAAAAUUUAUAAAAUAAAAGUCUAAUUACUUUUCCUAAAUUAAAUAUCCAAAUGAUGGGAAUUCUAGUAGAUAUAUUAUUUGAUUUACUCUACUUAUUUAAGUUGCAUCAUAUUUUUACGAUGAUAAACGUGAAGGAGUUGUUUUAGCUGGAAAUGUUGAUGCUCUAUAUAUGUGUUAAACACUAUGUUGCUUGGACUCGGGUGCAGGUGUCGGAUAUGGGUACAUAUUUAGGAGUCAGAUUCUUCUCAUUAUAAAAAUUAAGAUACGAGGAUACGGUUAAAAAGGAUCUGAAUUUUGGAUACGAGUACGAGGAUACGUUUUACAAAAUAUUUUUUUCAAAAAAAAAUGACAUUUCAAAAAAAUUAAAGGAAAAAAUCAAUGUAAAUGUCUUAUAUAUUAUUGAAAAAUAUAUAUAUAGAAAUAAAUUUCAAUUUAAUAAUAAAAAUAAGAUAUAGCACUAAAUUAUUUUAAUUACAAAAUAAACAACUCAUUUAGAUAAAUAUAAGAAAUAAAAAAUUAAUACAAAAAUAAACUCAAAUUAAAUGAGUUUGACCAUACAACUUAUUCUAAUAAAAAUAAUUGUAAUUUCAUUAGUUAUAUUCUUUUGACUUAACAAAGGCCUUUGUAAAACAUUUCGGUCCAAGCCCACUUCAGGCAGCCCUUCGUCUUCUUUCCCCAAUUGUUUUCUUUCUUCCAAGGCUAGAAGCAAAAAUUCGGAAGCAUCAAAUAGACAGACGCAAGGCCAGAUUACUACAUUUCCAUAGGCGAAAUUAAGUGCGGCUGGAAGAAAGACUCCACCUUUCGUCGUCUUCUCCAUUUUGCUGCCGUGUCCGAUUGCAAAAUCAAGGAUCCGAUCCAUAUCCCGUGUCGGUAUCCGUGUCAUGUCAUGUUGACAUCGACACUUGUCCAUUUUUGGAGAGUCUGAGCAACAUAGGUUAAACCUGUGAUUUAGUGCCAUCAACAAUCAUUUGUUCCUUAAUAAUAAUUUCAUUGAUGAAAAAAUUGAUUCUUUAGCAGUGAAAUAAAUAAAAUAAGAAGUAAAAGACUAUUUUGGCACCAAAAUUGGCACAAUGAAAUGAGGAUCCAAACCCCCAACUUUGCAAUAAUCCCGAUCAAGUCGCAGAAAUGUUUUCAGGACUUUCGAAUCUUUCAUGAAGUUAAUGUAAAUAUGUUGCGCCGUUCUAUAUUUGAAUAUAUUGUUUCAAGUUCUUCCCUUAACAAAUACAUCACCCAGUCAGUCCUAAGACCCGAUAGUAUGCUAAUUUCUUUUCAAUCCAAUGGGUCGAUUUUCGCUACUCAUCUUCCAAUCAUUCCCGGUGGGCUUCCAAUACAAUAUCCUGCUCUUGUUGCAAACUCUAUUUGUUCUGAAUCCAUUUGGGUCCAAAAAAUUACUAUGGAUCUCUGCAGUAGUAAUGUUACAAGACUAAGAAAUAAAAUGACAAUAUUCAUGUGAUGAAAAACUAAGGAGCUGUCUUCUUACCGUUUUCAAACCGUUUCUGUUUUCGAUUUUCCAAAAUAGUGAAAACGCAUUCUCCUUCUCAUUUUUGAACGUUUUGGGUGUUCUUUUGGCAAAACCCGGCAUUUUAACGAGACACGGGAAACACUCUCAUUUCUGUUUCUCUUCACCACCGCAUAUCCCGCUCUCGCAUAUCCUCUCUCUCAUACCCAUUCUCACCACCUGUUCUGGUUGAAAUUGGUUUGGGUCCAUUGCUGGGUAAGGUGCAACAGAAGCAGACGAUGUUGACCCAUGUGGUCCGCCACCAUGGAUUGACGUGACAGCGUUGGAAUUUUGAAAGAGAUCAAUCUAGGUCAAUUGGGGAUCGCGAAUGGCGAUUUUUCUGGAACCGGGAUUCAAAUCUGCUGCUAAAUCUUAUACAAUGUGGGAGCGGUUUCUUCCGUCGGAUUAUCAAGAUAUUAUUUCAAAUUGCAAAAUCUGCCCCCAAAGCUUUGGCUAUAGCUUCUCUACUCCACACUGUCUACUCAAUACGCUCAUCUUCCAGCACGCUUCGAGCUCCAACGCUUGCUGAUCUGCCCAUUUCUCUUUCUUUCAACAGUUUGGGUUUGGGAAUUGUGUGGAGUAAGANNNNN
rnacentral:lncRNA from 1 species